rnacentral:lncRNA from 1 species
UGAAGAAUAAAAACAAAGGAAACAGAGCAUAAAUACUGAAUAAUUUGUGUUCCAAAUUGCUGUUUCAAUUCAGAUACAUGAACUUGGCAUGGCGCACAGAUCACAUCCUCUACCCUGACAGGCCUAAAUGCCCAUUCUAAUGACAGAUGAACAACAAAUAAAACAAAAACAGAGCAAUGAUACAGCAAUAGAACCCCCUGCCAUGAUAUUUGCUUGCUUUUGCAAAUCGAUCAUCUGCAUUAGAUGUUUCUUGAUCUUCUUCAGUUCCUCGGUCAGUUUGGACCCCGCAUGCAGUUCAUCAUUGCGCGCAUACAUCGCCAUCGGCACGACUCUGCCCGCCCCUCCGCCAAAGCUCCCCAUAUUCUCCAUAGCAAUCGGCGGCACCCCGCCCAAAUUGAGCUCCCAGGUUGCGGCCACGCUCAAAUCCUAUCAAACUAAAUCCUAUCAACAUAUUCAUCAAUCCACUUGAAAUGGUAACAUUUCUUCAGGAUCUGAAAACCACAAUAUGAACCCUAAAUCCCAAAUUCAAGGAGAAAAAACAAAAUAUGGAGAAAUCAGAGCAAAAGACAGCAAAAGAACGGGCUUAGAACUGAGAUCUAACCUUGCCAUCCCUUCCGGCCAUUGGUUUGCUCAAGCAUUUCACAAAUUCCCGUCCAAGAUUGCCAUUAUCAUCCUUCUUAGUGACCAACCGUUUAAGAGGCUCUGGGCAUGGGCAGUCAGGGCACCUUGUGAGCAGCAUUGGAUCAUACUGUCGCCAUUUUGAGUGCAUGGCGGAGGAGAUAGACAUUUGCGCUAGGUCGUCGGAGAAGAGAAAGAUUGGGGAAAGGGGCUGAAUGGGCGGCGGCGGGCGGACGGGUACGGGCGCUCGUCUCUUCUAGCUGCGAGGAGGUGGGUCCCGCGAGUAGACAAGUGGUGUGUCCCGCGCUUACGUGGAUUAGUGGUGGGUCCAGCCCCCAACAGCUAAUGAGGGCAUCAGUUGAGUUUAACAACCAUGUCAUGCAUGGGCUAUUUACCUGCUCAAAAUUGUCGCACCACAGCAAUUCGCUCGAACAACGUCGCACUCUUGCCAAUUCACCUCAAAUGUGUUGCACAGGAGCUAUAAGCCCAUAGUUAAUCGCACUUUGGGUCGUUCCCGAUCUGAAUUUUAAAAUUCACUUUGAGGGGCGGAGCAGGGGUUGUAUAUGCAAACUGCGCCGACGUGCUGAUGAACAGGUUGGGUCUAAACCAACAGUUCAGAAAAUCACCACGGCUUGGCAGGUUCUUAGUUUACUGACUUUAUAAUGAGAUGAGAUCACAAAGAACCCAAAUACUUCAGAGUGCAUGCGCACUAUCUAGGCAGAACGAGCGGCCGAACACAAGCCGCUCGAUCAGCCCAGAUCGUGCGGUCCUCGGCGUCAGGUCGUACCUGGUCAGGAGGUGACCAAACACGCACGUGGCUGGGCCCGCCCGCAAGCGCCGCUCUCCUGCUCCAGACGGUUUGCGUCGCGUAGGAAGCACCCUUGCCACGGGCCUCUGUCUACUUCCUCUCUUCUCGCCCUGUUCUUUCCCCAAAUCCGACGACGAGAGACAACCGCUGCCGCGACGCAGCCGAAGACGGGGGGCAGGGAAGGGGAAGGGCUGGAGCGCGGUGGGGACCCGCUUCUCGUCGCCGGCGUAGGUACGGUCGCCCAUUCGGCUGCUCCCUGCCCAACCAGAUCCAGCCCCAUCGUCCUUGUUCCCCGCCGUCGUCGACGGGAUGCGGCCGUCGUCUACUUCCUCUGCCCGAGGUCAGCUGAGAUCCUUCCCCUCUAGAUCCGACUGAGUCCACUGCGUCCCAAAUGGCAGGGGUGGAGGAUCCUCUGGUCGCGGUGGCAUGUGAUGUGGGCGUCACGCGAUGGCAGAGAUGGAGCAACCUCCGGUGGUAGUGGUGUCUGAUGUGGUCUUUCCAGCGUCAUGAUCUGCUAGGCCUAGGUACAAAAAUGUCAUGUCCAUACGCCGACAGCGUUUCUGGGCUGAUUCGGGCAGAGGGGUCCCAUGGGAGAGCGUUGCAUUCGCUCUAAGCGAGAGCUUCUAUCGGAAAUUUUUUGCUUGGACCGUCACAUCCUAGCAAUAUCUACUGCGGCAGCACAAUGUUCAGAGGCACCGGUGUAUUUCUGGGUGCCUGCAUGUCAAUACAAUCUAGUACAGUAUAGUACUAUUUUGCUAGUAAACCUGGCACACGAGUCUAGUUUGUCUUUACAUCUUUAAUUAAUGUUUAAUUUCCUCUUCUAAUUUAGCGCUAGUCUGCUACAGUACAUGAUGAUAGUUGCUGAAGCAAACUAAUCCAAUUCUAUAUAUGUUUCAUCUUCCUCGCAAAAACUUAUCAAUCAGCGGACGAUUGUGUGGCGAAAUAAGUGUUUUCUAGUCAGCUAACGUUCAAUGAUUGGGUGGUGAAAUAAGUGUUUUCUUUAGUUGGCUAACACCGUGACGCUUGUAUGUUCUGUAAAUUAUCAAUCUUGAAUUUUUUGAAGAGCAUAGAAAGAGUUGCACAAGAGUAUCUAAAUGAGCUGGCAUCCUCAGGCUUUUCUAGUUGCACAAGAGUACCUGGUUAGUUGGCAUCCUCAGCAUUUCUAGUUGCACAAUUCAAUCCAACUAGUUGACAUCCUCAGUCUUUUUGUAGCUGCGUUGACACCCUCAGCAUUUUCUUCUAGAAGCCCGAAAUCUGAAUAUUUCAUUUCCCAAGAGUAUCUAAUUAAUUGGCAUCCUCAACAUUUUUAGUUGCACAAGAGCAUUCAGAAACAUCCAUUUUGCCUGAUUUUUUGGUUUGACAGGGAUGGAAACGUCGGCACUGGAGUCGUGGCCGUGGCGGGGAAGGCGAACCCAGCGCAGCUCUGCCAGUGGCUCAAGAGGAAGAUAAGCAAGGAUGUCAAGAUUUUCCGCCGUUGUCCAAACGGGCUGAGAAUUGUAAUAAGCAGGUAUGCAUCCCUCUUGUCUACUUGUACUGCAGAAUGAAGGACGAUGUGUGUAAUAUCCAAAUGAAUGCACGUUAUUACGAAGGGCUAGCCGUGUGGGGUUAAGGUGCUCGCCGGCGGCGACCUGCGUGGCUCUCGGCCUGCAUCCUCGCUGAACUCAACACCAACUAUCGCGCGCCCGCGAUGUGACUGCUGUUGCAACAACGACGGCCAACGGCUAUUGAACGACGAGGAUGCCCUUCGGGGGUUAUAGCAUGCAAAGCAAAGAAGUUGCUCGAUACUCACAGCCAAUAUAUCUCCCUGUAGAAGCAGAAGAAGCAGCAAUUGAUUCAUAAGCAACAAUUUUAUCUGUUUCGUUCCUUUGUAUUUUUGCCCUCUGUUUCUACUGAUUGUAUGUAUCACUUUUUCAGAUAUAUUGAUCUUCACAUUCUUAGUUGGCAUCCGUAGUGGUUGUAGUUGUACACAUAGCAGUUCUUGGUUGGAUACGACAAUUAGAAAGUUGCACAACACUAAACCUUUUUCCUACGGCGGUGAAAGUGGAACGGAAUACAUUGAACUGAAUACACAUGGUGAUCAUUUUUUUGGCAUUUAUAGUAAUUCUUGUUACACACAUAGUUGUUUUCGUCGGAGACGAUCAUUACUAUAGUAGUUGUAGUUGCACAUACAGUUGUUCUCAGUUGGAUCCUAUUAUUGAAAAAUUGCACACAUGGCAAUCAUUUUUUGUUUGCAUCUAUAGUAGUUCUAGUUGCACACAUAGUUGUUUUCAGUUGGACACGAUCAUUGGAAAAUUACACACACGGCGAUCAAUUUUGGGUGGCAUCUAUAGUCGUUCUAGUUGCACACAUAGUUGUUUUCAGUUGGAUACGGUCAUUGGAAAGCUGCACACACGGUGAUAAUUUUUUGUUGGCAUCUAUAGUAGUUCUAGUUGCAUACAUAGUUGUUUUCAGUUGGACACGGUCAUUGGAAGUAGUUGGCAGGGGCAAUAGAAGUAGUUGCACAGAAUCUGCUAGGCAAAACUUUAUGGUGGCGAAAGAUUCCUCUUAGUAAAUCUGCAGAGAAGAAAUGUGCGCGCGAAGGCAGUAUCCAAAGGGGUAGAUGCCACAUCUUCUGCAGCAGCCGCUGUGGUAACAUAAAGUUCUAUCAUGAAUACUUUUUACUCCACAUACAGGCAGCCAAGUGUAUGAAUUUUCAUACAUGGUUGCAGAAGGACUAAUUAAGCAUUGGCAUGCUCUACUUUCUCAGUUGCUCAACGUUGCCAUCUUCAAGUUUUUUAGAAUUGUCCCAAGAGUAUGUAACGACUUGGCAUCCUCUGGCUUUCUAGUUGCAGAAUAAUAUCUAAUUAGUUGGCAACCUCGGUAAUUCUAAUUGCACAACAAUAACUAGUUGACAUCCUCAUCUUCUCUAGUUGCACAAGAACUCAGAUUAGUUCCAUCUUAAAAAAAAUGAGGAUUUCCCUACAGUAUGUAGCGACUUGACACCCUUAGGCUUUCUAGUUGCAGAAGAGUAUCUAUUUAGUUGGCACCCUCGGCAAUUCUAGUUGGACAAUAUUAUCCAAGUAGUUGACAUGCUCAGCCUCUCUAGUUGCACAAGAAUUCAGAUUAAUCCCAUCUUAAAAAAUUUGAGGAUUGCCCAACGGUAUCUAAUCACUUGGCACCCUCAGGCUUUCUACUUGCAGAAGAUUAUCUAUUUAGUUGGCACCCUCUACAAUUCUAGUUGGACAACAUUAUCCAAGUAGUUGGCAUCCUCAGCCUCUCUAGUUGCACAAAAAUAUCUCAUUAGUUGGCAUCAUCAGCAUUUCUAGUCGCACAAGAAUAUCUCAUUAGUUGUCAUCACCAGCAUUUCUAGUUGCAGAACAAACAGGAUAUCAAGUUGCCAUCCUCAACAUUUUAAUCUAGUUUUCCAGAGAACAAAUAUUUGUAUGUAAUGAUAACUAAUCACCUUUGCCUUUUUUUUGCAAACCCCGAGAUAUUGUUCCAGGAAAUGAGAGUAAUGAAGCAUAUAAUGUUGAACGAUAGUCACAAGCUGGCUACCUGAUGGAGACUACGCUGGAUACCUGAUGUUUGAGUUGGAUAGAAUACAUGUUUUAGUUGGCUAUAAUACAUGGGUACCUGCACACAACCUUGUGUAUGCUUGUUGCACACAUCCAGGGGAAAGUUGGCUAUUUAACCAUGUUUAGUUGCACAGGGAACUACAUCAACCUUUUUUCUACUAUGAUGCAUUUUUUCACCCGUGGAUAUGUUUGUUUGCACACAUCCAUGUGAAAGUUGGUUUGAAACCAUGGUUUUCUUGCACAGGGAACUGAAUUUCUUAUGCUUUUACUUGAUCUUCCUUCUCAAAAUCAUGGAGUUUUUUUUACUUGAUUUGGGAGAUUUAGAGGGAAAGGGCAAGGGAGAUAGUCAACAAGGUUUGCACAUGGGAGAGGAGAAGGAUUUCUUACCUUGGCGUUGCUUGGUAAGCUUCUCUUCUCUUCUUCCUGUUUUUCUGACCAAGAUCUCCUCACCUUGGCUGCUUUGCCAUGGCAGCUCUACAGGAUCUGGUUCAUGGCAUUGGAUCUGGUUUCUUUCAUGGGGAAGAAGCUGACGACCAGCGAGGGAGAGAGGGUGGGUGAGAGGGGCG